GACGUAGGGCGCGAGCGUUGUCCGGAAUUAUUGGGCGUAAAGAGCUCGUAGGCGGCUCGUCGCGUCGACCGUGAAAACCCGCAGCUUAACUGCGGGCUUGCGGUUGAUACGGGCGGGCUAGAGUUCGGUAGGGGAGACUGGAAUUCCUGGUGUAGCGGUGAAAUGCGCAGAUAUCGGGAGGAACACCAGUGGCGAAGGCGACUACCUGGCCUGUUCUUGACGCUGAGGCGCGAAAGCUAGGGGAGCAAACGGG
rnacentral:rRNA from 1 species